rnacentral:rRNA from 1 species
AACGAACGCUGGCGGCAGGCUUAACACAUGCAAGUCGAACGCAUCGCAAGAUGAGUGGCAGACGGGUGAGUAACGCGUGGGAACAUACCCUUUUCUACGGAAUAGCUCUGGGAAACUGGAAUUAAUACCGUAUACGCCCUACGGGGGAAAGAUUUAUCGGGGAAGGAUUGGCCCGCGUUGGAUUAGCUAGUUGGUGGGGUAAAGGCCUACCAAGGCGACGAUCCAUAGCUGGUCUGAGAGGAUGAUCAGCCACAUUGGGACUGAGACACGGCCCAAACUCCUACGGGAGGCAGCAGUGGGGAAUAUUGGACAAUGGGCGCAAGCCUGAUCCAGCCAUGCCGCGUGAGUGGUGAAGGCCUUAGGGUUGUAAAGCUCUUUCACCGAUGAAGAUAAUGACGGUAGUCGGAGAAGAAGCCCCGGCUAACUUCGUGCCAGCAGCCGCCGUAA